rnacentral:lncRNA from 10 species
UUUGAGCCCAGAAGUUGGGGCUGCAGUGAGCCGAGAUCGCGCCACUGCACUCCAGCCUGGGUGACAGAGUGAGACCCUGUCUCUAAAAGAAAUGGAGGCCAACCCUGCAGAACCGCCUCUGCAGCCCGGGCUUUGUGGCUUCUCUCCGACCCCCUCCCAGUCGCAGACGCGCCCACUUUCAGCCCAGCGUGCCGAAAGUGGCCGAGUCCCAUCUGCCCCUGCGGGCCGCUCGCCGUCGCCAUGGAAACGAAAGCGGCCAAGGAGGGCUCCGCCCUAACGCGCCGGCUCCGGUGGGCUCCGGCGGCUGCGCCGCGGCGGACAAAGAUGCUGAAGGCCAAGAUCCUCUUCGUGGGGCUUUGCGAGAAAAAUGUUGCUAACCCCCCGACCCCCCCAGCCACCAGAAUUUCGAUUAAAAGAGACUAAAGUGAUGUGACAAUGAAAUGCAAUGUGUGAGCCUGUCUCAAAUUGGAUCCUAGACCAGAAAAAGGACAUUUGAGGGGAAACUGGCAACGUUUGAAAGGGACCUGCAGAUUAGACGAUAAAGUGCCUCAAGAGCCAGGCUGACGUAGAACACUUCUCUACUAGACUUUUUGUAUUUUCCAACUUUUGGAUGAAAGAGAGACGUAGCAGAAACCCAACAAUUACAGAGAGCCUGGCACAUGAUUCUACAAAGCAGUGUUUUCAAAUGGCUGACUCCAAAGAAAUGUGUAACUCUGUGAAAUGAAUGCAGACAUCACAAAGCAUUUGCUCAGAAAGCUUCUUUCUGGUUUUUAUCUGAAGAUAUUUCCUUCUUUACCAUCAGCCUCAAUGUGCUCCCAAAUAUCCCUUCGCAGGUUCUACUGAAACAGUGUUGCCAAACUGCUGGAUAGAAUAAAGGUUUAACUCUGUGGCGUGAAUGCACACAUCAGAAAGCGGUUUCUCAGACAGCUUUCUUCUGGUUUUCAUCCUGGGAUAUUCACUUUUUCGCCAUUGGUCUCAAUGAGCUCAGAAAUGUCCAUUCAUAGAAUGGACAAAUACAGUGUUUCCACACUGCUGAAUAAAACGAAACAUUUCACUCUGUGAGACUAAUGCACACGUCACAAAGCAGUUGCUCAGAAACCUUCUUCCUAGUUUUCAUUUGAAGAUAUUUUCUUUUCACUGUAGGCCUCAAUGCACCACCAAUAUUCCUUCACAGAUUCUACAAAAGCAGUGUUUCCAAAAUUCUGAAUGAAAAGAAAAGUUUAACUCUGUGAGAUGAAUGCACACAUCACACAGCAGUUUCUCAGAUUGCUUCCUUCUAGUUUUUAUCCAGGUGUAUUUGCUUUUUUGCUUAUAACCUCAAUGAGCUGUAAAGUAUCCCUUCACAGAUUCUACAAAAACAGUGUUUCCAAACUGCUGAAUCCAAAUAAAUAUUUAACUCUGUGAGAUGAAUGCACACAUCUCAAAGCAGUUUCUCAGAAAGCUUCUUUCUAGUUUUCAUCGGAAGAUAUUUCCUUUUUCACUAUAGGCCUCGUUGCAUUCCCAAGCAUCCCCUCGCAGUUUCUACCAAAACAGUGUUUCCAAAGCACUGAAUGAAAAGAAAGGUUUAAAUCUGCAAGAUGAAAGGACACAUCACAGAAUUGUUUCUCAGAUAGCUUUCUUCUAGUUUUUAUCCUUUGAUAUUAUCUUUUUUGCCAUUGGCCUUAAUGAGCUCCC